UACGUAGGGUGCGAGCGUUGUCCGGAAUUACUGGGCGUAAAGAGCUCGUAGGUGGUUUGUCGCGUUGUUCGUGAAAACUCACAGCUUAACUGUGGGCGUGCGGGCGAUACGGGCAGACUGGAGUACUGCAGGGGAGACUGGAAUUCCUGGUGUAGCGGUGGAAUGCGCAGAUAUCAGGAGGAACACCGGUGGCUAAGGCGGGUCUCUGGGCAGUAACUGACGCUGAGGAGCGAAAUCGUGGGGAGCGAACAGG
rnacentral:rRNA from 1 species